UGUUCAUGGUGGGAAUCGAACCCAGGUCGUAUCGGUCGAAAACCAAUGGUUUAGCCCAUCCUUCCACUGACCCCCAUGAAU